AGGGUCUGAUCUCUGCACCCCGGGCCCCCGCGCAGACCCGCGGACGAGCGCUGGGUGGGGAUUUCAACCUGCUCCAGCUGAUGUGCGCGGGGUUUGCACCCCGGGGAGGCGAGGGAGAGAGUCCGGCCACGUCCUGCCAGGCCCCGCCCGCGCCCCCGCUGCCCUCCAGCGCGGAACCCAGGUCCCAGGAGACGCGAGGCGCCCAAGGCCCCGGGAUUCCGAGCCAGUCAACCCCGGGCCGCGACGCUCUGGGAACCACACCCGUCCAGGAAGGCACCUUGGCCAAAGCCGGCUCCUUCGCAGAUGACCCGGGCCAGGGUCCGAGCGCCAGGCUGUGACCCCGCGAGGCUGUUCCACGCUGGCCGCGAGAGACGGAGGGCAGGAGGGGCCCGAAUAGGACAGAGAGAGAGAGAGAGAGAGACAGAAGGAGGCGCACGCGCUCCCCAGGGACCGGGACGCGGUGGUGGGCGGGACCUCGCGGGGGUGGGGGGUGGUCGCAGGACCCAGAAGGCUCAGGACCUUUACGGAUAGGGAGGACCCCGCAGGGGGGAGCGGGGGAGCCCCACGCCCGGCGUCCUCCGGGUGCGAGGGUCUCGGGGAGUCCGAGCCCGGGCCCACGGCCUCUGUCCCGCGGCCACUACCUGCUGGGGGUCCCGGGCCUGGGCCACGCCGGGCUGCCCUCGGGGACUUGCUGCGGCCGUUGAGGGGUCUCCGCGCGCCGCGCAGACUCGCCUCCCAACCCGAGGGCCCGGGCGGCCGCCGCCCAGAGCGUCCAGCGGCAGCGUCUUGCUCUCGAAGGCGUCCUCCACGCAGCGGAACACGCAGCCAAGCUUGGGCCGGGCCAGAGGCCUCGCGGGCUCCUGAGGCUGCCGCGCGGUCACGGCAGGAGCGGGCGACAGAAUCCGGUCUCGGAGCCUCCUGUAGCGAGGUCUGCGCGGCAGGUGCACUGGGCGGACCUGGAGGCCGCGCCCUCCCCCCCCGCCUCCUGCCGCCCGGCAGCGCUGCGCGGAGCUGGCUCUGUCCACGUAGCGGGUGCUGAACGCCCCAUUCUGGCCCCUGGGUGCUCGCUUAGUCCCGGCCACGCGUGGCUGCUCGCCCUCGGGACACACUGGGCGCUGGGAAGGCCGGGCGGGGAGCGCGCACCGGAGAAACCGCUGUGGGAAUCCCGGCCACAUUUCCAGGCCCCUUGGGCCGUCCCACGCCAGACAAGAAAGCCCUGACUCCGAAACCCUGGGCGAGUGUGGAGGGCGCGCGGGGGUGGGGUGUACCCGCCCACGCAAACUGCUGCUGAUCUCCCUUAAAGCCGAGUUAGAGGCUUGGGGCGAGACAGGAGUGACGGGCGAUGCUGUCACUCCAUCUGUCAUUCUACCCAGCCUGCAGCAGCUGAAUUCGAACCCAGAGACUUCAGGCCUUUGCGUUGUUACCGCAGUCCGCAUUUCAAAGCCAGAGUUUGGCCACUGAGUCACCAUGACCUCGAGUACUGGCGGGGCCCGAGCCAGCAGAGCUAGGUCCAGCAGCUUCCCACCCCUUCGUCCUCCUCUGGGCUCCCCCUCCCCUAAAUGAUUAAUGCAAUGUCUGUUACUCACCUGUGUGGGACCGUCCACGGCAAAUAUCACCAACUGUUCUUAUGCACGUGCAGAAGUUCCGUCCCUUUCCUAACUGUCUGAUCUCUUCCAUGGUUCACAUUUGACCAACAGCCACAGGAGGGAGCCUCCCAGGUGGUCGACCGGAGCCAGGUGCUGCCAGGCACCCGACUGCAGAGCUUGCCCUCCAGGUGAUCUCGCAGUAUCGGUGUUCACAAGCCCUGUAAGGCACUCGGGGUAUCCUGAAGGCUACAGAUUCUGCAAGGGCAGAGACUUUAAGGAACAGCCAUAGUCCUUCUCCAGCUCAAAAUCUGGACCAUGGGCACAAGGUUGUCCCGGAACCAUCGAUCUCUAGAAGGUACAGGAGGAAGGGGACCUGCCAGUCCAGCCCUCAUAUUUUACAGAGGGAAAAGGUGAAGCCCCAUGUAAAACAGGGAUUUCCCUCGGUGACACUUCCAGGCUGAGAAGGGCCGGGGAUCUGGACACCUACCCAGAAACACUCCCACCCUGUCAAUGCCUCUCUGAAUUAUGUGAUCAACUGCCUGGAGUAUGAACUAGGCACAUGCAAAUAGAGAACAGAGGUCUUGUUGAAAAUAUGAUGCUGAAUUUUAAAAACUCACUCCCCAAAUUAAAGGAACAAGACCAGAGC
rnacentral:lncRNA from 1 species